rnacentral:tRNA from 1 species
CCGUCGAUAGCUCAGUUGGUAGAGCGGAGGACUGUAGUUAUCCUUAGGUCGCUGGUUCGAAUCCGGCUCGACGGA